rnacentral:misc_RNA from 1 species
GCUCCUACCGAUUGAGUGAUCCGGUGAAAUAUUCGGACUGACGCAGUGCUCAGCUUCUGGACGUUGCGUUGGAAAGUUUCAUGAACCUUAUCACUUAGAGGAAGGAGAAGUCGUAACAAGGUUUCCGUAGGUGAACCUGCAGAAGGAUCAAGAUCGGAAGAGCGUCGGUUAUGGAAGAGUGUAUAUCUCUCUGGUCUCCGUAUCAUUAAAAAAAAAAAGAGAGAUAAAUCAUACAGUAUAUGUGUGUCAACUACACAUCAACCAAUGUACAAUACA